UACAGGGGGGGCAAGCGUUGUUCGGAAUUACUGGGCGUAAAGGGCUCGUAGGCGGCCAACUAAGUCAUACGUGAAAUCCCUCGGCUUAACCGGGGAACUGCGUCUGAUACUGGAUGGCUUGAAUCCGGGAGAGGGAUGCGGAAUUCCAGGUGUAGCGGUGAAAUGCGUAGAUAUCUGGAGGAACACCGGUGGCGAAGGCGGCAUCCUGGACCGGCAUUGACGCUGAGGCACGAAAGCGUGGGGAUCAAACAGG
rnacentral:rRNA from 1 species